rnacentral:rRNA from 1 species
AUGGGCGGCCCGCUGGGCGCCAUCAUCGGCCGCUACCCCUCGGCCGCCGCUGGCACCGGGGGAGACGACGCCGACCACCCGGGCGGGGGCGGGGGCACGGCCAGCCUGGGCAUUAUCCGGCACGACCGCAGGUGCCGCGACCUGGCCUUCCUCGUCCUCUUCGCCGCCUUCUGGGUCGCCAUGAUCGUCAACUCCAGCUUCGCAUUCAACCAGGGCAACCCGCUCAGGCUGACAUACGAGCUGGACUACAAAGGGAACGUCUGUGGCGACAGGCACGGCGACCCGGACGUGCACGAGCUCGAGGUCAGGUACUGGUUGGACCCGAACCAGGUGUACCAAAGUGGAGUCAAGGGCAGCAAGGCUAACCUGGCCGACGCCAAGGCCAUCUGCCUCAUGGAGUGCCCCACUCCGGCACCUGAUGGACUAAACUUUGUCUGUGAUUACCCGGAAGGGGAUAUCAGGCUCUCGGUUGAUGAUUGGAUCAAUAGGGACUAUAAUUACUUCGAAAUGCUAACACCUGAUAUGAGGAACAGCUCCCUCCAGCUUCAGGGCCCCUGCUACCCUGUCAUAUUCCCUAGCGUAAAUGUCUAUUGGAGCUGCCAAUAUAUCGCCCGGGCAUCCAAUGUUUCUUUGACGCACUGGCAACAGAUGGGUGGUGUAAACAUUGAGCAAAAUAUGCUUAUAGAUAAAACAAUCCACAAGGCCAUCGAUUCCAGAUCUGCAGUCCUCAAGAGAUAUGUUGCGGACAUUGGGAAGUCUUGGCCUGUCCUAAUCGUGUGUGGUGCACUCCUUCCUCUUUUCUUGUCAGUGAUCUGGUUGCUCAUGAUUCGUUAUUUUGUUGCCGCAAUGACAUGGAUAACAGUAGUGCUCUUCAAUGCCCUUAUAGUAUCUGUUACUAUGUUUUGUUACAUCAAAGCUGGCUGGCUUGGAAAUGACCCCUUAACGGUUGUUAUUGGUGAAAGUGAUCCAUACGUCCACAUAAGCGGGCGGGAAAUAAGCCAUCUUCAUGUUGCCACAGUGCUGAUGACAGUAAUAAUGAUCAUUGCUUUUCUGUCCUCGAUAGCUAUUGUCCGGCGUAUACUGAUAGCCACACCUGUCCUGAAGGUUGCUGCGAAGGUCAUUGGUGAAGUUCAGGCACUGAUAGUUUUCCCAGUUGUGCCGUAUUUUAUCCUCGCUAUCUUUUAUAUGUUCUGGUUUUCUGCUACACUCCACCUCUUCAGCUCUGGUCAAGUUGUCCGAAAUGACUGCAGUACAGAUUGUUGUUCAUAUGAUCUGAAGUUGGGCAAAGUGAACUGUGACAACUGUUGUGGGUACAGCAUCCACUACACCCCUCAUAUCGGCAUUGCCAUUCUUUUCCACUUAUUUGGAUGCUACUGGGCUACUCAAUUCUUCAUGGCAUGCUCUGCAACUGUGGUUGCUGGAUCAGUUGCUUCUUACUACUGGGCGCGUGGCGAAAUAUCUCAUGAUAUACCGUUUGUCAGUGUUGUCUCUUCGCUCAAGCGGCUGAUGCGUUACAACCUUGGAUCUGCUGCCAUAGGCUCGCUUGUUGUGUCUGCUGUUGAGUGGGUGCGGUUUAUACUAGAAUGCCUUCGCCGCAAGUUGAAGCUGGUCGGUUCUGCUGGGGAGAGCUGCUUUGGGAAAGUGUCAUCGUCCUCGUCUCAGUGCUGCCGAGGCUGCAUAGACUGGACCCUCAUGUCCGUAAAUCGAAAUGCCUACAUAAUGAUUGCCAUCACGGGGAAAGGGUUCUUCAAAGCUUCGGUGCUCGCGACCGGCCUCAUAAUGAACAACAUACUGCGCAUCGGGAAGGUGAACGUGAUCGGGGACGUGAUCCUGUUCCUGGGGAAGCUGUGCGUGAGCCUGUUCUGUGCGCUCUUCGCGUUCCUCAUGCUGGACACCCACAAGUACAAGUCGGCGCACAACAAGAUAUCGUCGCCGCUGGUCCCCGUGCUGGUGACGUGGGGCCUGGGCUACACGGUGGCGAAGUUGUUCUUCGCGGUGGUGGAGAUGUCCAUCGACACCAUCAUCCUGUCCUUCUGCCAGGACGCGGAGGAGCACCAGGGGACAGCGCAGUACGCGCCGCCGCUCCUCAUGGAGACGCUGGACGAGCAGGGCGAGCUGCAGAGACUCACUCAAGGGCCCUGA